AGCAGCCGCGGUAAUUCCAGCUCCAAUAGCGUAUAUUAAAGUUGUUGCAGUUAAAAAGCUCGUAGUUGAAUUUCGGGACUAAUAUGUCGGUCGUACUUUGUACGUACUAGCAUUAUUGGUUUCUCCCUUCUGACGAACCACGAUGUCAUUAAUUUGGUGUCGUGGGAAAUCAGGACUGUUACUUUGAAAAAAUUAGAGUGUUUAAAGCAAGCUCGCGCUUGAAUACAUUAGCAUGGAAUAAUGAAAUAGGACGUUUGAUUCUAUUUUGUUGGUUUCUAGGAUCGACGUAAUGAUUAAUAGGGAUAGUUGGGGGCAUUAGUAUUCAAUUGUCAGAGGUGAAAUUCUUGGAUUUAUUGAAGACUGACUACUGCGAAAGCAUUUGCCAAGGAUGUUUUCAUUAAUCAAGAACGAAAGUUAGGGAUCGAAGACGAUCAGAUACCGUCGUAGUCUUAACCAUAAACUAUGCCGACUAGGGAUCGGAUGAUGUUAAUUUUUAAUGACUCAUUCGGCGCCUUAAC
rnacentral:rRNA from 1 species